UGGGGAAUAUUGCACAAUGGGCGCAAGCCUGAUGCAGCCAUGCCGCGUGUAUGAAGAAGGCCUUCGGGUUGUAAAGUACUUUCAGCGGGGAGGAAGGGAGUAAAGUUAAUACCUUUGCUCAUUGACGUUACCCGCAGAAGAAGCACCGGCUAACUCCGUGCCAGCAGCCGCGGUAAUACGGAGGGUGCAAGCGUUAAUCGGAAUUACUGGGGGUAAAGCGCACGCAGGCGGUUUGUUAAGUCAGAUGUGAAAUCCCCGGGCUCAACCUGGGAACUGCGUCUGAUACUGGCAAGCUUGAGUCUCGUAGAGGGGGGUAGAAUUCCAGGUGUAGCGGUGAAAUGCGUAGAGAUCUGGAGGAAUACCGGUGGCGAAGGCGGCCCCCUGGACGAAGACUGACGCUCAGGUGCGAAAGCGUGGGGAGCAAACAGG
rnacentral:rRNA from 1 species